UAUGGCCAUGUCAAGUUGAGACUCUGGUUCUUAUUUGAUCACUAAAAUUAACCAAUGUUGAGCUGAGUCAGUACCUAGAUGAGUGACCACUUGGGAAUACCAGGUACUGUAA